rnacentral:rRNA from 1 species
UACAGAGGGGGCAAGCGUUGUUCGGAAUUACUGGGCGUAAAGGGCGCGUAGGCGGCCUGUUAAGUCGAACGUGAAAUCCCCGGGCUCAACCCGGGAACUGCGUCCGAUACUGGCAGGCUUGAAUUCGGGAGAGGGAUGUGGAAUUCCAGGUGUAGCGGUGAAAUGCGUAGAUAUCUGGAGGAACACCGGUGGCGAAGGCGGCAUCCUGGACCGAUAUUGACGCUGAUGCGCGAAAGCCAGGGGAGGCAAACGGG